UGGGGAAUAUUGGACAAUGGGCGAAAGCCUGAUCCAGCAAUGCCGCGUGUGUGAAGAAGGCCUUAGGGUUGUAAAGCACUUUCAGUGGGGAGGAAGUUGCGUGUGCUAAUAUCACACGUAAUUGACGUUACCCACAGAAGAAGCACCGGCUAACUCUGUGCCAGCAGCCGCGGUAAUACAGAGGGUGCGAGCGUUAAUCGGAAUUACUGGGCGUAAAGCGUGUGUAGGUGGUUAGGUAAGUUAGAUGUGAAAUCCCCGGGCUCAACCUGGGAAUUGCGUUUAAAACUGCUUGGCUAGAGUAUUGUAGAGGAUAGUGGAAUUUCCAGUGUAGCGGUGAAAUGCGUAGAUAUUGGAAGGAACACCAGUGGCGAAGGCGACUAUCUGGGCACAUACUGACACU
rnacentral:rRNA from 1 species